UACAGAGGGGGCAAGCGUUAUUCGGAAUUAUUGGGCGUAAAGGGCGCGUAGGCGGCCUGACAAGUGGAAGGUGAAAUCCCUCGGCUUAACCGAGGAACUGCCCUCCAAACUGUUUGGCUUGAGACCGGGAGAGGUGAGUGGAAUUCCCAGUGUAGCGGUGAAAAUGCGUAGAUAUUGGGAGGAACACCAGUGGCGAAGGCGGCUCACUGGACCGGUACUGACGCUGAGGCGCGAAAGCGUGGGGAGCAAACGGG
rnacentral:rRNA from 1 species